ensembl:lncRNA
GGGGGGGUUGGGGGGUGGGAUGCAAGGCCUUCCAUGGCUGGGUGGUCGCAUGCCGAGUUCCUUAGCGAUGCUGUGUUUGCCUUUACCUUCAGGUGGGGGGGCUUGCCUCCCUGCAGGUCUAACGGUGUCCCCGCUGAUGUUUCAGGAGCUGCUGCAGAAGGAAGAAGAAGAAGCGGCGUGGGGACCUGGGAGGCAGGAGCAAGCAAGAAGAGGAAGCGGAAGCGUGCAGAUGCGGGGGGGAAGGAGAGAGGCUCCCUGGGCAAAGCACCUGUCCCGUUAGCAGGGGCACAGUCACGUUUGAGUUGAGAGCUGCCGGCGCCUUUGGUGACCAGGCUGGCGUUGUGCUGGGCGACCUCCCCGUAAGCGGGGCUCAGGUCUUUGCUGUAGUUGGCCUUUUGCCUUGCUGCUCCUAGGGCUGCCUGGGGAGCGUGGCCCCCUGUAACGGAGGGCGAGAGCCACCUCUCCGCACCUGAGUGGGAAAUGGAGCUCGCCGGACCCCAAGGCCACCCUGUAAGCAGGGUAGUGCCGUUUCCCUGCCCCUCUUCCUCCCCCGGCCCCUCGGCAUCGUUGCCUGAUGGUGGCUUGUCAACGCGACGGCCCCGUACUCGGGGUGUGCGUCACGGCAUUUGGCCGCUGGCUUUACCUGAGAAGCCCCUUGGCACGUUGAGGUCUGUGGCCUCCGUGCAGCCUAGGGACAGGUCACAGGCUCUUGUCUGUUGCCCGUGGUUGUGGGUUUAUUCCCAGGUGUUGGCUGUGCUGCGUUGUCCUUCCCUUCUGGAAAGUCGUGCCUGUGUGUGCGUGUUCCCCUUCCUUUCCUUGUUUGUGUUUGUGGAGUGGUUGAGCGGCUGUGCUUUCCCUUUAGGCCUCCACAAAGAUGGCUGCAGCUUAGCUUUGACUUCCCGGGGGGGAAUGGAGGACUUUGGUGCAUGCCGCAAAAGGGGUGUUCCCUCUUAGUCCUGCGAGCGCAGCGAGUGUCCUGUCUUCCUACUAUUUUCCUUAGUGCAGAUCAGAGCCACACGGUAGUUCUGUGGCCAAGGCCUCCCUGUAGCCAGGGCUUGGGCCUGUCCUUGCGUGGCCGCCUGUCCUGCUGGCGGCGGUGACAGCCCCGUACUCGGGGUGUGUGUCCCAAGCUUUGG